rfam:Clostridiaceae bacterium BRH_c20a BRHa_1005797, whole genome shotgun sequence.
GCCUCGAUAGCUCAGUCGGUAGAGCAGAGGACUGAAAAUCCUCGUGUCGCUGGUUCGAUUCCGGCUCGAGGCA